rnacentral:rRNA from 1 species
UACAGAGGGGGCAAGCGUUGUUCGGAAUUACUGGGCGUAAAGGGCGCGUAGGCGGCCUGUUAAGUCGAACGUGAAAUCCCCGGGCUCAACCCGGGAGCUGCGUCCGAUACUGGCAGGCUUGAAUCCGGGAGAGGGAUGCGGAAUUCCAGGUGUAGCGGUGAAAUGCGUAGAUAUCUGGAGGAACACCGGUGGCGAAGGCGGCUCACUGGACCGGAACUGACGCUGAUGCGCGAAAGCGUGGGGAGCAAACGGG